rnacentral:rRNA from 1 species
AGUGAACGCUGGCGGCAGGCCUAAUACAUGCAAGUCGAACGGCAGCACAGCAGAGCUUGCUCUGUGGGUGGCGAGUGGCGGACGGGUGAGGAAUACAUGGGAAUCUGCCCAGUCGUGGGGGAUAACGUAUGGAAACGUACGCUAAUACCGCAUGCGCCCUACGGGGGAAAGUCGGGGACCGCAAGGCCUGGCGCGAUUGGAUGAGCCCAUGUUCGAUUAGCUAGUUGGCGGGGUAAAGGCCCACCAAGGCGACGAUCGAUAGCUGGUCUGAGAGGAUGAUCAGCCACACUGGAACUGAGACACGGUCCAGACUCCUACGGGAGCAGCAGUGGGAAUAUUGGACAAUGGGGCAACCCUGAUCCAGCCAUGCCGCGUGAGUGAAGAAGGCCCUCGGGUUGUAAAGCUCUUUUGUCCGGAAAGAAAGCAAUCGGUUAAUACCCGGUUGUUCUGACGGUACCGGAGAAUAAGCACCGGCUAACUUCGUGCCAGCACG